rnacentral:misc_RNA from 1 species
CAGCAACGUCCACUGGGGCAUGCCUUUUCAUUUACGGCGAAAGGUUGUUCUUCAACCCGGAGCAUUUGUUUGGGUUUUCCUGUGCUGCGUACCUACUUUAGGGUAUGUUGUUGUUUGGUUAUUGUGAUUUUUCAUUCUACGUCACUCGCGUGGCGUGGGGUGAACCAUAAUUGGCCUCUCUAUGAUCCGUGUCUUUGAUGCAUUGUGUCCUUGGCAUGGCCCAUUGAGCGUGGCUUGGUUUCAUGGAUACAGAACCUUAUGUGGGUAUGGGGUCUCUUCGGACCUUGUGUUUGCCCUCAUCAAGCGUUCUUGCUUCUAAGAAACAACCUGCGAUCGUGCAUGGAACUUGUUUUGUUCAUGAUCGUUGUUGUCGAAG